ensembl:snoRNA
AUCCUUUUGUAGUUCAUAAGCGUGAUGAUUGGGUUACCACGCGACUGCGUGAGGUGUGCCCCCCACAAACCUUGGUACGACAUCGGCACAUUACCCGUCUGAAA